rnacentral:rRNA from 1 species
UACAGAGGGUGCGAACGUUGCUCGGAAUUACUGGGCGUAAAGCGCAUGUAGGCGGGCUGGAAAGUCGGGCGUGAAAUCCCCAGGCUCAACCUGGGAACUGCACUCGAAACUCCCAGUCUAGAGUGGUGGAGAGGGAAGUGGAAUUCCUGGUGUAGAGGUGAAAUUCGUAGAUAUCAGGAGGAACACCAGUGGCGAAGGCGGCUUCCUGGACACCAACUGACGCUGAGACGCGAAAGCGUGGGGAGCAAACAGG